GCCGGGAUGGCGGAAUGGUAGACGCGGCGGUCUCAAACACCGUUGAGCUCAAACUCGUGCGGGUUCGAGUCCCGCUCCCGGCACCA
rnacentral:tRNA from 1 species